AGAGGGGAGCUCAUCAGUGGGGCCAUGAGCUGAGUGCAUCACAUCACUCCCGCCAUUGUCCCUUGGGAAGGUCUGAGACUAGGGCCACCAUGAGCAGCCCUAACAGGGUUCUCCCAGAGCCUACAGGAGGUGAGUUCCCAGAGAGCAGGGCUCUGCUUCCGGGCACGCUGGACAGGAAAUGAUCCCCACCCACCAGCCAGCAGAUUAGCAGGAGAUUGGGACAGCACCUCGUUGGACUGGUGUGUGUAGACACAGAUACUGAGGAAAUUUGCUCUCAACUCU
rnacentral:RNase_P_RNA from 1 species